rnacentral:misc_RNA from 1 species
UCACAGCUUACGCUGGCAGUCUCUUUAGAGUUCCCAGCAUUACCUGUUGGCAACUAAAGAUAGGGGUUGCGCUCGUUAUGGGACUUAACCCGACACCUCACGGCACGAGCUGACGACAGCCAUGCAGCACCUAGACAGUUGUUCUUGCGAAAAGUCUCUUUUCAGAGACGGUCAUCUGUCUUUCAAGCCCAGGUAAGGUUCCUCGCGUACCAUCGAAUUAAACCACAUGCUCCUCCGCUUGUGCGGGCCCCCGUCAAUUCCUUUGAGUUUCAACCUUGCGGUCGUACUUCCCAGGUGGAUCACUUAAUGCUUUCGCUUAGUCGCUGACUGUGUAUCGCCAACAACGAGUGAUCAUCGUUUACGGUGCGGACUAC